UCCCAUGUAGUCUAGUCGGCUAGGAUACUCGGCUUUCACCCGAGAGACCCGGGUUCGAUUCCCGGCGUGGGAG